GGAUGUGAGAAGAUCUGCUGUAACAUCUGUCACCUCAUCAAUAGCCAGGGUUGAUUCAGCUGAUCUGGCUAGGCGGGUGUCCCCUUCUCCCCUCCCUGCCCAUGUGAGUCCUUCCCUACGCUGUGCCUUCAGUCUAAGAGGACGACCUUCUCCCACAGAGGAGGACUGGUCUUCCGUCAAGGGUGUAGGAGUAGCUGCACUUUCCUGCUAGAACCUACAAACAAGCUCUCAAGAAUGUGGGACUGAAUGCUUAUGCAGCAUGCAUGGGUGAGGUUCUAGGUUUGAUCCCAAAAAU
rnacentral:snRNA from 1 species